rnacentral:rRNA from 1 species
AGUAAUGCCUAGGAAUCUGCCUGGUAGUGGGGGACAACGUUUCGAAAGGAACGCUAAUACCGCAUACGUCCUACGGGAGAAAGCAGGGGACCUUCGGGCCUUGCGCUAUCAGAUGAGCCUAGGUCGGAUUAGCUAGUUGGUGAGGUAAUGGCUCACCAAGGCGACGAUCCGUAACUGGUCUGAGAGGAUGAUCAGUCACACUGGAACUGAGACACGGUCCAGACUCCUACGGGAGGCAGCAGUGGGGAAUUUUGGACAAUGGGCGAAAGCCUGAUCCAGCAAUGCCGCGUGUGUGAAGAAGGCCUUCGGGUUGUAAAGCACUUUUGUCCGGAAAGAAAUGGCUCUGGUUAAUACCUGGGGUCGAUGACGGUACCGGAAGAAUAAGGACCGGCUAACUACGUGCCAGCAGCCGCGGUAAUACGUAGGGUCCAAGCGUUAAUCGGAAUUACUGGGCGUAAAGCGUGCGCAGGCGGUUGUGCAAGACCGAUGUGAAAUCCCCGAGCUUAACUUGGGAAUUGCAUUGGUGACUGCACGGCUAGAGUGUGUCAGAGGGGGGUAGAAUUCCACGUGUAGCAGUGAAAUGCGUAGAGAUGUGGAGGAAUACCGAUGGCGAAGGCAGCCCCCUGGGAUAACACUGACGCUCAUGCACGAAAGCGUGGGGAGCAAACAGGAUUAGAUACCCUGGUAGUCCACGCCCUAAACGAUGUCAACUAGUUGUUGGGGAUUCAUUUCCUUAGUAACGUAGCUAACGCGUGAAGUUGACCGCCUGGGGAGUACGGUCGCAAGAUUAAAACUCAAAGGAAUUGACGGGGACCCGCACAAGCGGUGGAUGAUGUGGAUUAAUUCGAUGCAACGCGAAAAACCUUACCUACCCUUGACAUGCCACUAACGAAGCAGAGAUGCAUUAGGUGCUCGAAAGAGAAAGUGGACACAGGUGCUGCAUGGCUGUCGU